GAUUAAGCCAUGCAUGUCUAAGUAUAAGCCCUUGUACGGCGAAACUGCGAAUGGCUCAUUAAAACAGUUAUCGUUUAUUUGAUAAUCACUUACUACAUGGAUAACUGUAGUAAUUCUAGAGCUAAUACAUGCGUCAAUGCCCGACUUUUGGGAAGGGUUGCAUUUAUUAGAUACAAAGCCAACCCGAGGUUCGCUUCGGAACUGUUGGUGAUUCAUAAUAACUAAGCGAAUCGCAUAGGCUUGCCUGGCGAUGGAUCUUUCAAGUUUCUGACCUAUCAGCUAUCGACGGUAGGGUAUUGGCCUACCGUGGCUUUGACGGGUAACGGAGAAUUAGGGUUCGAUUCCGGAGAGGGAGCCUGAGAAACGGCUACCACAUCUAAGGAUGGCAGCAGGCGCGCAAAUUACCCAAUCCUGACACAGGGAGGUAGUGACAAGAAAUAACAAUACAGGGCUUCACAGUCUUGUAAUUGGAAUGAGUAGACUUUAAAUCUCUCUACGAGUAACAAUUGGAGGGCAAGUCUGGUGCCAGCAGCCGCGGUAAUUCCAGCUCCAAUAGCGUAUAUUAAUGUUGUUGCGGUUAAAAAGCUCGUAGUUGAAUCUCUGAUCGGGAUGACCUCCUCACCUUAGGGCGAUGGUAGCUGUUGACCUGAUCAUCCUCCUAGAACACGAUGUCUCUUAACCGGGUCAUUCGUGCUAGGACUAUUACUUUGAGGAAAUUAGAGUGUUCCAAGCAGGCAUUUGCCCUGUAUACAUUAGCAUGGAAUAAUAAUAUAGGACUUCGGUUCUAUUUUAUUGGUUCU
rnacentral:rRNA from 1 species